CUGUUUUCCAUGUGGAUAGGAUUUGUCAAGGAAAAACUGCACUGGAUAAAGAUAUACAGCUAUAGUCUCAAUGGGCAUGUGGUCUGCCUUCAAGAUUAACGAACAACAGCAGUUUAACCAGAUGUUUACCAUAAUAUAAUGAGACUCACCAGCUCCUCGGUCUGCAAUACCUCCUGUCCUCCCAAGUUCUAACCUCUAUUCUCACCUACAUGGUUAUUGUUGCUCACAACACCAUGACUUCAUUUCACCACAUGGGAAGAAUGAAAGAGGUGUAAGGCAUGUGAUUUUUUGAUACAAAAACAUGAUAUGGAAAUUGUGGACAUUGCAUAAACUCAGAUGCUAAUGACUAAAUGGUCACAUCUAGCUGUAAGAAAUGUUAUUAGUAGAGUGAUGCAUUUUAAUCUCUCUUAUACAGGGAAGGAGAAUCUUUAGAGGG